UCUUUUAUAAUAUUAUAUAUUUUAGUACGAAAGGAUCAAAUAUUGUAAUUAAAUUAAUAAUUAUAUUAUUUGAAUUUUAUUAAGAUAAAAUAAAAUAUUAUUUAUUUAGAUGUGUAUGGUGAAUAUAUAUAUAUAUAUAUAUAUGUAUAUAUUU
rnacentral:rRNA from 1 species